GUUUUUAAUACUUCAUAAAAUAGUAAUGGCAAACAUGAAUGUCACUUUCCUGAAUAAACUAAACGUUGAUUCAAAAAACGUCACCAUAAAGGUCAAGAUUGUCAAGCUUUGGAGGAGACCCAUGAAGGAUAACAAAAACGAAACCUGGUCAAUUGAAAUGAUUCUGAUGGAUGAACAUGUAUAUUUUAUAUGCGCAAUUUAUUAAGAUGUGGUUUUAUGAUGAUCAUUUUUAAUGUUAAAAUAUAUGAUCCAGGGGACAAAAGUUACUGCAAGUUGUCUACAAAAGUUUUUCCCAGAUUCGAGAAACCUCUGAUUCAAGAUGAUUGCCUCUUUAUCCAUAGGCCGUCACUUGCCGAAAACAAGUUUACCUUCAAGUUUGCUGAAAAAGAACAGAAGGUUACUUUUUUCUACAACACUUUGAUCACGAAAUGCAAUAGCUGGUCAGGGUCUGAGCAUGGCUUCAUUUUUUGCGGAUUUUAAGUCUAUUCUAGACAAAUCCGGGCCCAAUGACAAUUCAAUUCCUUUGGGUUCAAUUUUAGAUGUGGUUGGAUAUGUUGUUAUAUGUUACCCCAUGGAGCCUACCAUACAAAAUUAGGGCCUGGCAAAAGAAUGACUUUAAAGCUAAGAGAUUUAAAUAAUGAAGAUUUGACAGUGACUUUGUGGGACGAGUUUGCUGAGGAAAUGAACGCAUAUAUGUCUUGGAAAGAUAAAGAUAUGCAUGUGGUUUUACUUAUUCAAUUUGGGGUUUUGAAGCUUUACAAAGGGAAACGAAUUGUUUCAAAUGCAUUUGAUGCAACUAGGCUGUUCAAGAAUUCUUCCAUGAGCGAGCAAUAUUAGCACCUAAAAAUGAAGUUGUUCAAGAGAUUAACGAUCGUCUGCUAUCACUUUUUCCUGGAGAAGAACAGGAGUACCUUAGCUCGGAUAGUAUUUGUCCAUCAGAACAGUUUAAUGAUCCAGCACAAGAACGUAUAUAUUCUCCCGAUGUUCUUAAUGGACUUAAAAUAUCUGGAUUGCCAAAUCAUAUGUUGGUGUUAAAGGUUGGUGUUCUUGUUAUGCUUCUAAGAAAUAUUGAUCAGCAAAAUGGUUUGUGCAACGGUACCAGAUUACAGAUCCUAACACUUGGUAAACGCGUAAUAGAAGCUGAAAUAAUAUCUGGAGGUACUAUCGAUACUCGAACAUACAUUCCUAGAAUUAAUAUGAUACCUUCAGACAAAAAAAUUCCCUUCAAGUUUCAGAGAAGGCAAUUUCCACUAUGUGUAUGCUUUGCAAUGACUAUAAACAAAAGCCAAGGACAAUCACUAUCUCGAGUUGGUUUGUACUUAAAGCAACCUGUAUUCACCCAUGGACAAUUGUAUGUUGCACUUUCGAGAGUAAAGAGUAGAGCCGGAGCAAAACUACUAAUUUUAGACAAAGAAGGGAAUGUUACAAACCAAACGACAAAUG